ACCAGACUCCUACGGGAGGCAGCAGUGGGGGAUAUUGCACAAUGGGGGGAACCCUGAUGCAGCGACGCCGCGUGAACGAAGAAAUAUUUCGGUAUGUAAAGUUCUCUCAGCAGGGAAGAAAAUGACAGUACCUGACCAAGAAGCCCCGGCUAACUACGUGCCAGCAGCCGCGGUAAUACGUAGGGGGUGAGCGUUAUCCGGAUUCAUUGGGCGUAAAGCGCGCGUAGGCGGCCUGUUAGGUCGGGGGUCAAAUACCGGGGCUCAACCCCGGUCCGCCCCCGAUACCGGCAGGCUUGAGUCUGGUAGGGGAAGGCGGAAUUCCCAGUGUAGCGGUGGAAUGCGCAGAUAUUGGGAGGAACACCAGUGGCGAAGGCGGCUUACUGGACUGUAACUGACGUUGAGGCUCGAAAGCGUGGGGAGCAAACAGGAUUAGAUACCCGUAUAA
rnacentral:rRNA from 1 species